CGGACUUUGGCGAUUCCUGAUGAUGUCACGUGGUUCUGUGGUAGGCCGGGUCAGGAGCUUUCCGAUCUGGCUUGUUUUCAUGGUUUCUCUGCCCUUCAAUCUGUUCUGGUAUUGAACGACCGCCGACAGUGUGCCGAGGAGGAGGUCGAGCGUCUGUCUGCUCUUUUGGCGACUUCCGAGUCUGAAAGGGCGAAAUUGAAGGCCUCUUUGGAAGAGCAUGAUUCCCUUCUGGCGCAGCUCAAGGCGCAGGAUGCGAUUAAUGAUCGCCAAGUGAAAGUGAUUGAGAAAAAGACCGAUGACUUGACUCAAGAGAUCGAGGAGCUCAUUCGGAUCAAUUCCCUUGUUGGUGGGGAGAGGGAUAGUCUUAGAUCGGAGGUUGAAGGUCUUCACAUCCGUCUGCUAGAUACGAAGGCUUUUUACUCUGCCCUGAUAAGCGAGUAUCGCCUUGCGAUUGGGAAGAAGCUUCUGGAGCAGAAUCCCAAUAUUGAUCUUUCUGGGGUCAACGGGUUGGAUCCCCAGGCCAUCGCCCGUGAUCUCCUCGUCAAGAUUUCUAAAGACCGUGUUUAGUAGUUUUCUUUUGAUUGUAUUUGCUGAUGUAUUAAUUUUGCUUUUUGUAAUUCGCAAUUUAUGAAUAUAUUUUCUUCGUUUUUCUUCGAAA